AGUCUUAACAAGGUUUCCCGUAUUGGAGCCCCUUAAGUUUGAUCCUGGCUCCCCAAAACCUAGCAAGGACUACCGGAUUGGGUCCCUUAUACUUUAUAUCUGCUUCCUUCACCUGAAAGAAACUGGAAAGACUGAGCACUCUGUCACUUGAGGAUGGGCCUGCGGCGCAUUAGCUAGUUGGUGAGGUAACGGCUCACCAAGGCGACGAUGCGUACCCGACCUGAGAGGGUGAUCGGCCACACUGGGACUGAGACACGGCCCAAACUCCUACGGGAGGCAGCAGUAGGGAAUCUUCCGCAAUGGGCGAAAGCCUGACGGAGCAAUGCCGCGUGAGUGAUGAAGGUUUUCGGAUCGUAAAGCUCUGUUGCCAGGGAAGAACGCUCAGGAGAGUAACUGCUCCUGAGGUGACGGUACCUGAGAAGAAAGCCCCGGCUAACUACGUGCCAGCAGCCGCGGUAAUACGUAGGGGGCAAGCGUUGUCCGGAAUUAUUGGGCGUAAAGCGCGCGCAGGCGGUCAUGUAAGUCUGGUGUUUAAUCCCGGGGCUCAACCCCGGAUCGCACUGGAAACUGUGUGACUUGAGUGCAGAAGAGGAGAGUGGAAUUCCACGUGUAGCGGUGAAAUGCGUAGAGAUGUGGAGGAACACCAGUGGCGAAGGCGACUCUCUGGGCUGUAACUGACGCUGAGGCGCGAAAGCGUGAGGAGCAAACAGGAUUAGAUACCCUGGUAGUCCACGCCGUAAACGAUGAAUGCUAGGUGUUAGGGGUUUCGAUACCCUUGGUGCCGAAUUAACACAUUAAGCAUUCCGCCUGGGGAGUACGGUCGCAAGACUGAAACUCAAAGGAAUUGACGGGGACCCGCACAACCGUGAGCGCGCGCAGGUAGAGAUGUGGAGGAACACCAGUGGCGAAGGCGACUCUCUGGGCUGUAACUGACGCUGAGGCGCGAAAGCGUGGGGAGCAAACAGGAUUAGAUACCCUGGUAGUCCACGCCGUAAACGAUGAAUGCUAGGUGUUAGGGGUUUCGAUACCCUUGGUGCCGAAGUUAACACAUUAAGCAUUCCGCCUGGGGAGUACGGUCGCAAGACUGAAACUCAAAGGAAUUGACGGGGACCCGCACAAGCAGUGGAGUAUGUGGUUUAAUUCGAAGCAACGCGAAGAACCUUACCAGGUCUUGACAUCCAACUAACGAGGCAGAGAUGCGUUAGGUGCCCUUCGGGGAAAGUUGAGACAGGUGGUGCAUGGUUGUCGUCAGCUCGUGUCGUGAGAUGUUGGGUUAAGUCCCGCAACGAGCGCAACCCUUGAUCUUAGUUGCCAGCACUUCGGGUGGGCACUCUAAGGUGACUGCCGGUGACAAACCGGAGGAAGGUGGGGAUGACGUCAAAUCAUCAUGCCCCUUAUGACCUGGGCUACACACGUACUACAAUGGCCGGUACAACGGGCAGUGAAGCCGCGAGGUGGAACCAAUCAUAAAAAGCCGGUCUCAGUUCGGAUUGUUGGCUGCAACUCGCCUACAUGAAAUCAGAAU
rnacentral:rRNA from 1 species